rnacentral:rRNA from 1 species
UGAGCAACCUGCCCUUGACUCCGGAAUAACAGCUGGAAACAGCUGCUAAUACCGGAUACGACCUCCGAUGGCAUCAUCUGGAGGUGGAAAGCUCCGACGGUCAAGGAUGGGCUCGCGGCCUAUCAGCUUGUUGGUGAGGUAACGGCUCACCAAGGCUUCGACGGGUAGCCGGCCUGAGAGGGCGACCGGCCACACUGGGACUGAGAUACGGCCCAGACUCCGUAGGAG